rfam:Triticum aestivum genome assembly, contig: Triticum_aestivum_CS42_TGACv1_scaffold_061306_1DL
UAUAUACUCCCUCCGUCCUGAAAUACUUGUCGAAGAAAUGGUUAAAAUUGGAUGUAUCUAUAACUAGAAUACGUCUAAAUUCAUUCAUUUCUCCGACAAGUAUUUCGGGAUGGAGGGAGUAUUUU